GGAAAUCCUCGACCUCAACCUCAAAAGUCACGAGGUCGAAGCCAUUCCAAGAGAAUUUAGCGUCCUUGGCUUUCUCAAGGAAACUUGAAUGUAACUUGCAGCUUGUGGAUAUGAUAUCGAUGUAGUAGGACUGCAGUCUUCUUCUUUGUAGAUUUGUGUACGAAUUCGAAAUCAGGACAAAAGUUUGAACUGAUUCCUUGACAUUGCCGACCUUCUUCAACUAUGGCCCAAGCAUCUCAGACGGUCAGUUCACAAAUGUUGAGUUCACAAACGUACUCUAGCGAGAAGAUUGGCAUGGGCACUCUUACCUCGGCUGCUGAUUUGUCUGACAUUAUCAUUUCUUGUUGCCUGGAGACGCAGUCUAACGAAGAUUUUAUGAUCAUGAAGAUAAAAUUGAAAAGUCUUCUGCGACAAUUUGGUCUUGUCCAUUUGCUGAAAACUGUAAAAGACACAUUUGAACUGUUUGAUACUGUCUUCUCAAACGAGCAUCCCAAUCUGACUGAUCUGCAAAAGUUAGAGUUACUGAAGGAAGUAAUGAAAGCAACAGGAAAACACCACAUGGUUGACAAAGUGGGCCAAGCAUAUAAACAAAUUUGUCAAAUGCAGUGUCUGUCUGCAACCGACUCACUGAACAGUACAUCUAGUCAAUGUCCACAACUGGUCUUUCAAAGUGAAGAUGGUGAUUUUAGAAAUGAAUAUCUUGCUGGUAGUCAUGGCAUACGUGAUGAUCUACUGAAAUAUUUUUCUGUGGUCAAAGAAAACAUAGGAAGACAAUGGACUGACUUAGGCAGGAAGCUGGAGACAACCGAAGCAGACAUUGAAGAUAUACAAGAUCACAACAAUAAUCAUUCAAGUUGCUGCUAUGCUAUGCUCAUCAAAUGGGAAAGAACAAAUGGACAACACGCUACAAAGCUAAAGCUUGAACAAGCAUUGACACGAAUACAAAGAAAAGAUAUUGUUGACAUGUUAAGAGCAACUUGCUCGGCUCAAAGUGGAUUACCAAUUUCAACACCAACUAUGGUAGGAUAUGAGCAGCCUGCUGCUGCUCAAAUUUUGCAAAACCCAGCUGAUCCCAUUUCCGUCUCAUCUAACACAUCACGUAAAAUCAACCAUCAAAAUGGUGUCCAACAAAGUGGUGCAACUGGUCAUCCAAUGCAAUGUUCAGAUGCCUCUCACAAAAUGGCAUCUGAUCAUCGGUAUCAAGUAGUGAAGCCUGAAGCUGACUUAACACAUGUGCAGUUACAACAAAGUUCAAGUCUCAACUCACUUUCUUCACAGUAUCCAUUACAACCGAUUGGUGUUCAGUCUAAUCACGGUGACUGCUCACUGCUCAUUGACACUCCAGAUGAUGUCGACCAAGCUUGCACACUACCUAAGGUUGAUCAUAGAAAACUGCUUGCUUCCUAUAAGCGACAAGAUCCAUCCAUGAUCGAUACAUUCCAUACAGUAGCCAAGAAUCGAAAAAUUUGUCAUCUAGUUUUUGUAGCAGUUGGCAGAACUGGUGUAGGAAAAACAACUUCCAUGAAUGAAGUUCUUGGUACCAUAACAAGAGAAAACAGUGAUGCACAGCGUGGAACAAUUGGCCAAGGAAUGUCUGAAACUCAAUUUGCUUCAACUUGGACAAGAAGUUACUCAUAUGAAGAUUCUACUACAUACAAGUUGAGUUUCAUUGACACACCUGGCCUAGGUGACAACUCUUGUAAUGGUCUCACUGAUGAAGAAGUCUGCGAGCGGAUCUGUUGGGCAACAGAUCCUAUCACAAAGGAAGAAAAUACACAAGUCAUGAUGGUGUACUUCUCCCCAGCACCAAGCAGUAUUGAUGCUAAAGAAAUUGAAUCUAUCAAAACGCUGGAAACAGCCACUGGCCUUGAUUUAUUUUGUGUUGUGCUGACCAUGGCAAGGUCACCAAUAACAAAUGCCUGCCUUAAAUGGGAUGAAUGUAAGCAAGACAUAAAGAAUUCUCUUGAUGUCAUCACUGAAGAGUUUCAAACUGAUUACAUCAAUGAACACAUUGAAGAUGAUGACUCCGAUACUGACCGUGACCUACUGCUUAGUAAUGCAAAGAAAGAGAUCAAUGCUGAUGCUGAUGGUCUUCCCAAAAAACGAGGCAUCAAGGAAAAAUUUCUUCAAAUUUUUUGGAGACGUAAGUUUCAGAAAACCAAAACACAGUGGUAUGAAGAGAGGCUUCGUAGACAAAACAAGCUGCCUGUGCCUGUGGUAAUGCUUGAAAACACAGAGUUACUGCAAACUGAAAAUUGCAAUGUUGAGCAACUUUUCAAACACUGGGUUGAGUUGCUGGGUGAGAAUUCACCUCUUUUCCUCCUCAUGACAUGUGACGAAGUCAUGUCACACCCAAAGAGCAAGUUCUACUUUCAAUUUGUACCAAUAGGAACACAGAAAAGCUGGACAAUCAGGCGUUACCAAUCUUUCCAUUUGUAGAGAUAGUUCUACUGGAAGAAAGCAAAGAAGAAAAGUUCAACAAAAUUAUUUCCAAAGAUUGAAAGAAUUGAUACUAAUUAUCUUUUCUUUCAUCAAACUAUCAACAACCAUCACAAGAUCCGUUUGAAUUCAGAAUGUUUGGUGAUUGAGUAGGAGUGCUAAUUUGUGCUCUACCUAUUUGCUGAAAAGGUUGUGUACAAAACAUUAACUUUAAUAUCAAUGUAGCAACAGAACGUAACAGUAGUUGCCUCAGAUUCUUAGAUUAAUGUUCAUUACUGCUGCAAAUGUUUUCUUGCAUCUUCUUUACCAAAGCAUUAAAAAAUCGUUAGAAACAGUAACAA